UUUAUGACAGAGUGAUAGGAACUAAAAUCUGAAAUCUAUACAUGCCUUGUUCAGAACAAAGUGAAAAUAACAACAUACCACCAGGUGGUACCUUCCACUACAAAGACAACAACAGGAAUCUAAAGGCAGAUAUCGAGGUUGGAACAAGCAAACCAUGAUAUCGAGGUUGGAACAAGCAAACCAUGAUAUCGAGGUUGGAACAAGCAAACCAUCAAACAAUCGUAACGACGAAUUAAAAGUAACCGUCACAGGAGACUUGCUGCCCAGACAUGUCUUGUGAUGGUAAAUUGCAGGGGCAGCUUUAGAGCUUGCAACAUGAGGGCAGAAAAUGUGGGAAUAGGGAAUCACCAUUAGAUAGUCAUCAUCCUGUAGAGGAAAGUCAAGGAUAAAAUAAUUGAUUGAGAUGGUUAGCUACAUACAUUUUUUAUAGCUCACUGCCCAUCUCCAUGGUACGCAAGCACAAAGGAAUUAAUUCAGUUUGCAGGAGAAUGCCGAUAACCUCAGUAUCAUCAACAUGCAUGCAUAAUAAGAAGGUCAAAAGGCUUCUUCAAAAACCAAGAAGAGAACAUUUAGUAUUUGGAAACAUAUGCAGCUAUUCCAAAAGCAAGAAGAAAACAUUAGAUAGAAAAGCCAACACCGAAAGCUGAAGCAAGCACAUGACAACAUAUAUUCUAAAAUUACAGAGCAGAACUGGGUAGAGAAGUAAGUCAGUCUCAGAUGCAUCGACAAAACAAUCAAGAAAUCAAGUUUUGCUCGAGUUGAGCCUUGAAUCGGCAACUUCCACACCUACCUUGCUCUAAAUUAAUCAAAAGAAAUAAGAAUAUGUGCAGCACAUAAUACUUUUGGGAAAUCGGUGAACACAAACAUGAGGAGAUCAAGCCUCGAAGCAUAUGAUCUCCAACUUGAUUUCUCACAUAAUAUGUAUGAGUGCUGCAAGUGCAUCUAUUGUGCUCAGUUUUUAGAGGCAAAAAAUUGGUAUAACUUUCUGUUGAGUAAAAGGAACAUCAUGGAGCUUCCAAAUUUUCAUGGCCAUGGAACACACUCAACACCUAAACUUCGUGAUCCCGUCGUCAUGCCAUCACAUGAAGUCAAGGAAGCUCCUAAAUUCAUAGUGGUAUCUUGAAGCAAAGCCGACAUCCUACUCUCUUGGUUUAUUCACAGCAAAACAAAAAUAAAUACAUGAAAGUAAAAGGUCGAGAGAGACAUGCAACACAAAGAUUGUAAUAGCAGUAGAAUCCAGACUGAUGUAUUGUAGCACCUAAUCAUUUUAUAGGAAACGGCAAAGAUUGGUAACCAAAACAGCAUCAUAAACUAUUUGUGUGAAUAAAGGCAUAAGUUUAAUAAUAACAUAUCAAGGAAAAAUAUUAGUUAUUUUUAGGCGCGACCACCAGUGGAACAAUACAUAGUAAGAAGAUAAAUAAUAGAACCUAGGAAAAAAGGUAUACUAUAAC
rnacentral:lncRNA from 1 species